rnacentral:tRNA from 66 species
GCACCCGUAGCUCAGCUGGAUAGAGCGCUGCCCUCCGAAGGCAGAGGCCACAGGUUCGAAUCCUGUCGGGUGCACCA